GUGAGAAUAAAUAGAAAUGAUUGAACCAUUUUGCUCACCAUCCUACUCUACCCCACCUCUGCCAGGUACCAUUGGGUGAAGCACUACGGAUACAAAGAAAAAGUAAAAGCAAUGUCUGGCCUCCAGGAAUUCACAUUCUAAUGGAAAGGACAACACAGACAUACCAGAAAAAUACAAAGAAGAUGGAAGAUAUCUUUAGAGGAGAGGCAUCAGCUGAGGAGGAAGAAGAAAUGUAGUAUCAGAUUUUAUAUUCUGGGCUCUAAGAUCACUGGAGAUGGUAACUGCAACCAUGACAUUAACAUAUACUCACUCCUUAGAAGAAAAGCUAUGGCAAAUCUGGACAGCACACUAAAAAGCAAAGGCUGAAUCACCAUGUUGACAAAGGCCCAUAUAGUCAAAACUAUGGUUUUUCCAUGAAUAGUAUAGCUGUGAGCAUGGGAUUAUAAGGAAAACAGCUCUGUAGAAUCAAUGCUUUCCAAUUAUUAUGCUGGAGAAGACUUUUGAGAAUCCCUUUGAUAGCACAGAGACAGGCAGGAGGUCUUAGAUUAAAAUCUGGCCUUAGAUACUGUAAUAAUUAAAAUUAUGAGACUGGCCUUAAAUCAAUAACAUUUUUUAGAAUUAUUUGUAUUGCUCCAUUUAGCUUGCAGCUGUCAUGAGGGCCCCUAACCACACUCACAGGGAAGACCAAUCAGCUCAAAAACACUUAAGGGAAGAGGCUAAAAUUCGCUCUUGCCUCAGUUUAUCAAACUUCUCCGCCCACUAACUCCCACAUGUCACGUCUCAGGAGCCAAUCAUGGCUCUCCAUUUUUCCUGCCCUGCCCAGCGGGGUCAGUUGGUUGGCUGGAGAUGUGGAGAGGGAGGAAGAAUAAAGUUCUUUUUGUACAAUCCUUCCUAGCUGUG
rnacentral:lncRNA from 1 species